CUAUUAUUAAGUUUUGAAUCAGGUUUUUUUUUCCUAAGUUUACCUCCACACCACUUUGACCUAGCCUCCUCCUUGCACCCGCUCCGCCCUAGCGCCGCUGCACCCCCUGAACCUCAACCUCCGCCUCCAGUCGAAGAAGGCAUUGGGAGCUCUAACUCCAGUCGCCGGCAGCCCUCGCCUCGCCGCGCCUACCCCACUGCGUCUCUCCUCCAGUCGAAGAAGACAUUGGGAGCCCUAACUCCAGUCGCCUGCUCUUGUUCCGCCGUGCCUCCGCCCGAUCUCGCCGCUCCUCCUGCACUCACCUGAAGCCCUCGCCACCUCCUCCGUUCGGCAGCAGCAGCCAAUAGGUUUCUUCUUCUUUAGUUUUUGUUAAUUUGUGUUUUAUAAUUUUCUGAAUUUAAUCCUUCUCCCUGCUGUCAAAAUCAGUCUUGAUUUUAGUUUAAUUCCAAAUUGUGCGUCAAUUGAAUGGAUUCAGCAUCUUGUUCACUCAAAUUUGAAGGUAUUUUGCAAUUGUUUGUGCCUUUGGAAUGCUAUCGAGCUUUUUGCAAAGUAUAGUAUUGAAAUUGAGCAGUAUAAUAGUCUAGACUUGUAGUAUUUGUAUUUCAUUGAUUUUGCUAGGAUGGCCUUUGGAGUGCUAUCGAGCUUUUUGCAAAGUAUAGUUUACAAUUGGUUUCUGCAUUUCAAACCUAAUUGGAUUUGAAUGCAGACCGUUGAUUGAUCCUAUUGCCGCAAUUUUUAAACGGAUGCUUUGUGGAAGAAGACCAGAACCCUCUCAAAUGACAAAGGACUAUAAUUUUGUAGACACCUCAUUGCCUAGUCCAGAGUCUCUUGAAGCUUCUAGGAGAAGGUAGUCCCACUCCUUGCUUGUUAGAAAAUAUACUCAAUAUUGACUUUGGGUGAGGAAGGUUAUAUUAUAUUAUUGGUUGAACUGAUGAUCCCAUUGUCAUUUAGAAGCAUAUUUGAUGGGGCGACUGAGAACAUUUAUAAAAUAUAUACUCGAGUUUAUAUUUUUAGAGAUGUUAAAAACAAGUAAAUUUAUAUUUUUAGUUGCACAUAGAAUUUGUAAAAUAUGUCAUGUCCCUGAAUUUAUUAAUUAUACAGCUCCUGUGAUAAUUAUAGAAUGUAAAGGAGCUUUUUUGGUGGUGAGAGAGAGCUGGCAGUGUUAGCUUUAGUGGUCAAGUUUAUUUGGAUUUGGUCCAGUUUGUUUCCCUCAGAAACUGAUUGUGCUUAGUGUUGGGUUUACUGAGAAACUGUAUUUAGGGUGAUCAAGCUUUUAUUCUGCUUUGUGUCUAAUAGGUGCUCUUCAUGUAUCCUCCUAGAAAGAAGUUGGAUUUGCAAUUACAGUGUUAAGGUAUGUGGUUUCUCAAACUCUUCCAACUAAUGAUAUAUGUCAAUUAUUGAGGCCGCUACACACGAGACUUCAAUUUCAAGUUUAAGAAUAAUUUAGAAAAUCGUAGGUAUAUAGACUAUAAUAUUGAGAUUGAGACAUUAAUGAUAUCUACUUGGCAACCAAGAUCAUUGCUGUUUUUUAUUGAAGAGUAUGCUAGAAUUUGACAUAGCUAAAUGAUAUCUAGUUUUGUAGUUUCCUUUUGUUAAUUUGAUUUUGGUGGGUCCCUUUGUUAAUCUGUGAGUCGUCUGGAUUAUGCAGAGUUGAAGUGUGCAAUGAAUGUAGAUUAUAGAUAUAACUAAUUAUAUGGAGUAAUUUAUAAGCUUUGUGUAUGUAUAUGUAAUAAAGUUGGACAGCACAAGUAGUGAAGUUGUGGGGCGGAUUUAAAUUGAAAAAGAUCCAUUUUCAUCUGCUCCUUUACUCUCUCCUCUUAUUUUGCUGCUACGAUUUCUCUACUUCUGGUAACCUUCAAUCCCUCAUCUUGUCUGUGUGUUUGUAUGUUGUAGAUUUAUUUAUUUUAUAUGUUUCUCGUAACUCCAAAACGGGAAACUGAUUGCAAAUUCUCUGUAUAUUUAUUUCAAGAAAGUGAUGCUCUGAUUUUACAACCGAGGACUUCGAUUGAACUCUGAUAGAGCUCAAAUGGCAGGACCUUGGAAGAUAUAUAUGGAUCUUGAAUAUCUCUUUGGAUAUGCUAGAAAAUUAACCACUCCAAAACUACUCGUAUUUUUUUAAGGUUUAUAAUCUUUGUGCUGAUUAGAAUCACACCUUUUAUGCAUAAAAAAUUGCAGAAAUAAACUAUCAUGCUGCUUUCCUGUAUAUUUUAAGGUAAAAAAAAAAAGGUUUGAUUGCAUUUCUGUAAGAAAGUCUGUCAUUAUUCAGAGAAUUUAUGUUUAUUAAAAUCAAAUUUUAAUAAUUUAAAAUUUGUUUUAAUAUAUGUUUCAUUUUUUUCUGACUUUUGUUAGUCCCUUCUCUUCCAUGUCUUCCAGGACUAUAAACAGAAUAUAAUCAAACAACUAGAGAAUAAAUUUUGUACCUGCAAUGGGUGAGCUUCUGUUUUAAAGUUUUUGUUUUAGUAGGGUAAUUUUUGUAUUAUAUAAGUAGACUUAUUAGAUUUUGUACUAAGUGCUAGUUGUGCUGCAGAUAUAGUUGUGCUACCCCCUAGCCUUUGCAGAGAAGAUGAAGAAGGUCGAGGGAGAAGCCGGAACAAAUAAUAGGAUCUUUUUUUCAUUUUUUUUUUAAUUACUGACUCUGUCGGUGUCUUGCCAUAUUAUUGUAGUGGGGGAUGAUAAAGAAUAUUUGAAAUUAAUGAAUGACCUUUUUAUUAUUCGUGUAUAUAUUUUAA
rnacentral:lncRNA from 1 species